UUCAGAUGCAGCAAGCAGCGUAAGAAGCUGUAUAAAAGGGCUUGCAAACCAGUGCUCUCUACUUGCCUUUCUCGUUUUACUCUGUAGGGAAUCAGGUUCGCCUCCAGCACAGCAAGAUGUUUGACAGCCUGGACAUGAUUGAAGACCUGCAUUACCCGGGCCAGCUUGACUGUAGACCCCCCUACCCAGGAAGGCGAUAUUGGUGUUGCUGCUAUGACCGAUAUGGAUGCCUAGUUUGGCAGGGCCCAUGCUGUUAUCCAGGCCCCUGGUGUCGCCGUUAGGAACAGCUCUGGAAGGUGGUGGCAAUGCUGAAUCCAGCUCAAACAUCCACCGUGCUGGGGGGAAAGAAGAAAUGAAAAGCAA